GAUGAACGCUGGCGGCGUGCCUAAUACAUGCAAGUCGAGCGAACGGACGAGAAGCUUGCUUCUCUGAUGUUAGCGGCGGACGGGUGAGUAACACGUGGAUAACCUACCUAUAAGACUGGGAUAACUUCGGGAAACCGGAGAUAAUACCGGAUAAUAUUUUGAACCGCAUGGUUCAAAAGUGAAAGACGGUCUUGCCGUCACUUAUAGCUGGAUCCGCGCUGCAUUAGCUAGUUGGUAAGGUAACGGCUCACCAAGGCAACGAUGCAUAGCCGACCUGAGAGGGUGAUCGGCCACACUGGAACUGAGACACGGUCCAGACUCCUACGGGAGGCAGCAGUAGGGAAUCUUCCGCAAUGGGCGCAAGCCUGACCGAGCAACGCCGCGUGAGUGAUGAAGGUCUUCGGAUCGUAAAACUCUGUUAUUAGGGAAGAACAGAUGUGUAAGUAACUGUGCCCAUCUUGACGGUACCUAAUCAGAAAGCCCCGGCUAACUACGUG
rnacentral:rRNA from 1 species